UAGUUCAGUUGGUAGAGCAGUUGACUUUUAAUCAAUUGGUUAAAGGUUCGAGCCGAGCCGAGCGAAGCGAGACAACAAUGCGUCAGCGUUGACCCGAAGGGCGAAUCCGCAGGAUGAGUAAUCCCGCACGAUAAGCAC
rnacentral:sRNA from 1 species